rnacentral:misc_RNA from 1 species
CUUCAACUGCGGAUGAAAUUGAUACACCAAUGAGAAUUAUGCAUUUAUCGAAUACAUGCUAUUCUUCAAUUAUUUAUAUAGAAACUAGGCAAGAGUUGAGGCAAAAUAAUUUUGGCUUUUACAUGAACAACUAACCCGAAAAAUAAAUGUUGUUUUGAAAAGCACAUAGGGGGGAGAGAUGGGAGACGUUGCUUCUACAAACUUUAUGGUGUAUGGAACAGUACAAGAAUUUUUCUAUCUUUAUAGAUGUCAGAUAAUUUCCAACACCAAAAUGUCAAUAGCCCACGUUUCUCAGAAAGUUCUUAUGACGGAUCAUCGAAGAAUCCUUUAGGAAAGCCAUGGCCGAGGCCUUGGUUUGCUUCGUUCACUUCUGAUAGUCAAUCUUAUCUCCUGCCUAGCUUCUAACAAAAAUCGACCUGUGUAUGGAAACAAAUUGGAAAGAACUGGAAUACUACUCACACUUAAUCGACCUGUAUAUGUGACGAAUAAAGAAUAGCGAGGCACGGAAACCCACUGUCCCAAGCAUGAGAAAGAAGCCAUAGCAUAUGCAGGCCAUGUACCCAAAGAAGAAAGAGGUUUGCAUGAAGCCAGACAUAUCAGAUCGUGCAUAAUAGUAGUACAAGCAAUAAGCAUAGAUAAAUAGCCCAGUCGAACCACCGCAGAGAAAAGACCUCCACCACCAUUCAUGAUCUUCAGCAGCAAGUUGAAAGUAUGUCAAAGCCACAGUUAUGAAAGCAGUGACAAUCAGAAGAAUAAUGAAGACAAUAAACAGUAUGCUGUAAAUGGUAUAAAUCCUGUGUCCCCAAACACUGGCAAAAAUGUAGUAUAGCUCAAUGUAAAUAGCACUAAAAGGCAGAAAACCUGCCAUUGCCAUCUGAGGAAAAGCACUCCUGUACCAUGGCAAUAUUGGAAUCUCCCGAGGAUAUUUUGUGGUGCGACAAGGGGCUUGAAACUCAGCCUCGCUAUUUUUGCCAGCAAUGCCACCCAAUACAAGUAAUGGAGACGUUACCAAUGUCCAUAUAAGGAAUAUUACCACAAUAGUGCCAGAAGGCAAUGCAGCAGUUGCACUGUAAAUUAUGGCAACAGAGUUGAGAAAGCAAAAUGUGAGGAAAAAGGGUCCACAGAAAAGGCAUCCUGUCAGCAAAAGAUUCCUCACCUGUCGACGCAGAAAACGGGAACUUGUUUCAGCUUGAAAAAUCUAGCUCUUGAAAGAACCAAACAAAAGCCAUAUAAGCAUACCCAGUUCUUUCCUUCCAGCUGACAAUAGAAAGAGGUUGCUGUAUAUCCAGCAAUCCCAGAAGUCAGUGCGUAUAUGACUACCAGUGCAGUAAAUAGAGCUCCUCGGUUAUAUGGAUAAAAUACACCAACCAGUGCAAGAAUGAAAAUAAAUACAGUGAGAAUGAACAGCUGGGUCCCAGACCCAAGGGCUGCAGCAAAUAAUGACUUGAACUUUGGAUAUCUAAAUACAUCACCGUGGAUGUACUUCCAUCCAGUCUCUUCCUGAUCAUCAGCUGCUUCCUCAUCUUGUGCAUACUUCACAAAAUCAUUCUUCAAGACCCGCAUGAGAAUGGUAGCAAGAAAACCAGUCAGAAGGAGAACUGUCACACAUGAGUUUAUAAUGGAGAACCAAUGGAUUUCCAAGUGAUGAGGCAGUGAAGAAGACAGUGAGUACUUUUCCAUUCUCUUCUCAAAGGGAGUAUCUGUUUCCUUCCACUUCACAGUAUAAAGAAACUCCGUUUCAACUUCCUUGUCCUCCGUCAGAUCCAACAGUGAAUGAGGAUCCAUCCGCACACUCACUUCAAUCACACGGUCCUUAUUGUAAAGAACAUCGAACUGGAUAUGCUUGUAAAGGAAGUAUCUGUACUCGCUUGGGUCAGUCUUGCCUUCCUUGUCAACUUUUCCUAUGAAGCCCCAGAUGGGCAGAUCAUCAUAGUACAUUUGGAAGUAAUAGUCUUUGUCAAUUGCAGAUCUGAACCUUGCAACUUCCUCCUUUGUAAGUGUCUUCUUACAAACAACUGAGGAGGUUUUCUCAUCUCUGAAGUUUAGUUUGUACGGAGCACUGACUAGACGGUCUCCAUUCAACACCUCACCAAGAGCUUCUGUUUUCUCUUUCAGGUGUUCUGCCAUUAAAAUUCACUCAAACAUCAAAAAGACAAAUGGGCGAAAUUAUCUCGUCCCAAUAAAAUUUCAUCUUGAAGGUUCAAAAUUUCUUGCCAUGCUAUCCUUUUAGCAGACUUGGUGUCCAACAAAGCUGAAUAGCGAAAAAUAGUCUACACAGCUGACCCCAACUAAUUUGGGAUUAAGCCUUAGUUGUUGUAGUUGUUCCUAUCCUUUUUAGCUUCAAAAUCAAUUAUAAAACAUGCAAACAAAUAAAAAGCCCGUUGCGUUUAAAUUAAAUGUAGUCUAACAAAAUAAUAGAUAUUAAAACCUCCUAAUCGUCUUGGUUUUUUUUAACAGGUAUGAAAAGAUUAUGUCCACUCUAAACAAGCAGCUUACUCAACAAGUUUCAAAUGUUGCAAAUGGAAAGAUCUCCUAGAAGAUAAACAAAAUUUACCAUGAAAACAUAAAUAACAAAAAAAUAAUAAUGCAUAAAAACAUAUUCCGCUAUAAAUGGAAGAUGAAGCACAAGCAGAGACAACAACCUGGAACACAGAAGGGCAGAUCGAAAUAGCGAUACGUUUCACUGGGGUUGUGAAAAGGGCCAACCUUGUUGGCGUAUAGAGGAACAGGGUCACCCUCCUUGUAUCGGUGGUCGGAGGCGUCCGAUCUGACGUGAGUUACAGAAGGGGCAACUAGAACGGCAAGGAGGAAGAGGAGGAGAGUGUUAAAGGGAUUGUCCAUGGUUGUUGGUUUAGCUUCUCUCCUCUUCGUUCUUAUGGAAGUAACAGCACAGAGGAUCUAAUAAGAGAAGAGCAAGGGCUUUAUUUACCAUUACUUGAAAAUCACUCAAGAUCGUUCGGCUUUAGCUUUCACGCUCUACUUAUUUCCGAUCCCCAGACAAGAUCGGUGGAGAAUGGAAAAUAA